GUGUUUUCUGUGGUAAUGGGGUGACAAAGGCAGGGGGUAUUUAUCUUCUUGGUAUCUCUGUGGGGCAGAAAGGAAUGGGUAAUAACCAGGUUUGUCUCCGUACUGACAGGGUGACUGGGGGAAACGGGCAGGCACAGGGAGGCCUUUCUCUGCCGUGGUGGUUGCUGGCAAUGGAGCCGCACUGCUUCCUGCAGGGCUCUGACAGGACAGGGCAGAGCAGCUGGGGUCCCGUGUCGCUGGGGUCCUGUGUCAUCAGCGGGGCAUACAUGUGCCAGGGGAGCAAGAAGCCACAUCCAAGCAUGGGACAGGCAGGAAGCUGCACCCAGAGAGCUGCACUCAAUUCAGGGGGGGCAGGGGACAAGGAGCCCCCUAGGUGCAGCCAUGUCCCUGCAGAGGCGGCUUUCGCCAAAAACGGCAAAGCUUGUGUUCUGCAUUUUUCAUCCUUAAGUGUCAGACAAACAAAUACGCAAAAUACACAGUAUUUCCCUGACUCUGGAGGAGAAGGAAAUUGUGGGUAGGAGGCCAGGGCAGAGAGAUAACACACUAAUUGUAUUCAGGAGCAGCAGCAGCCCCACAGGCAGCCCAUGGUGGUGGGACAUGCCUGGCUGUGGGGAGGGUGCGGGGGAGUCUCUGGGGGAGAAGCUGACGGAGAGAGGCCGAGGAAGGGAGAGAGAAGGAGGAGGCGGGAGAGGACAAAGGAAGAACCAGCAGAUCCGGUCUGGGCCGGUUGGAGCCGGUUGGGGCCGGCUGGGGCCGGUUGGGGCGCUGCAAGGACACAGCAGCUGCUGAGGCCGCCCCUGCACCCGGGCGGGCGCUGCUCUCCGGAACGGAUCUUCAGAGCCCUCGGAGCGGGGCUCCGCGCCGCCGCCGGCAGCCGCGGGAUUGCGCCCGGCCGCGCCGCAGCGGGGAGCUGGAGCCACCUCCAGGCGGGAAUCCGCUCCUGGCUUCCCGCCGCGCCCCGGGCGACCCCAGACCUGCACAGGCAGGAGGGCCCGGUGUCGGGUUUCAGAGGAGCCGGCUGCUCGGCCGGCGGAAGGGAGCGGCGGGGGAGGGAGCGCCCUGGGGCCGGGCCGGGUGUGAGGGGCUGCCCCAGGCUUAGCCGCCCCCCGGGAUGCUGUCCCAGGUCCCGAUGCGGGUCCCACCGCAUGCAUCCCGCUUCUGCCUGACGGAAAGACUGGGCUUAUCCCGGCCUGGGGUGUGCCAAGCGAACUGUACGGAGGGCAGGCAGGGCUGUGGGCAGCGCCGCUGAGGCAGCCUGGGAUGGAUGAGGAGCCCUUGGCUCGCUGGUCAUGCGUGGGGAAAGGAGCUUGGGUUUUCCCUUUAGGCACAGGUUUUUGGACUGAAAUACCUGUUUUCUGGAUACCUUUUGCACUGUAUUGGCAAAUAUAUAAGUGUUGCCUUUGAUCAGCCGCUUUACCAUUUGAAGUACAAAAUGGCAUCUGAACCUUUUUGUAGGGGUAGCGACAAUGCUGCCUGAAAUACGUUUGCUGUUUUUCCUCCUGUGGCUGAUAUAAUCUUGUUAUUGAAGUGUCUUGUCAGAGGAGCGCAGAGCCACAGGCUCCUGACUUUCUCUGGAAAACAAUUCCACGCUUUAAUACCUUACCUGGUAGAAAAUUCUUUAUCCUUGCUCAGCCUAAAUUAUGGUUUCAUUACAUUGUACUUUCUAGAUCCAUUUUCAAUGGCCACCUGCAGCAUAGUAAGUCCAUCACCUUCUAACAAAUGGUACACUUUUCACCUCUACCCACUACUUGAGUGGACAUCUGCAAUUAAAACAGAUUCAAUUCCUGGUCUUCAUGUUCUUCUGUUCUGUCACACUGGGCUAGUACAGCAAUUUACAUUGGCCCAUUGUGUUUCAACCUAAGGGCUAACUCAAAUCAUUUAAUCGUUAGACUGAACAGCAAAAAACCAGCCUUGUCAUCUCUCUUUGUAUUAGAUCAGAUAUAUUCGUAAGCAUUUGAUCUGCUUCUAAUCUCUGUCUUUCAUCUCUGCCUCUCUUACUGGGUUAUACUGUUCUCCAGAUAACCCUGAUAAAUGGAAGAUGCUCCCUGUCCACCUGUCCAUCUGUCCAUCAUUAACAGUUGUUUUCCUUUUUUUUUUGUUGCUGCCUCUCAGUGUGUAACCAUGUGUCACUUUUUCAUUGCUUCCCCAGCUCUGGGAAUGGUGAUACAGACAAUGUGCUCCCUUGCUUAGUUAUCUGAUCCAUCUAUAGUCUACGUAGAUCCAUUUAGAGAGGCCAUUGAUAAAAAUUUUUGUGGUCACACAGCAGUAAGAAGUGGAGCUUCUCUGAUAACUCCAAAGCAGUCACAGGAGGUAAUCUAGCUGAGGCAAAACCUAAAGGUGUAGAAACAGAUAGAAACUGUAUUUUGUUCUUCAAAAGCCCAGAGGAGUCAGCAUAUGUCAAUACGGACAAAUUGGGUUUUUAUAAGUACUAAAUAUGGAAGUCACUGGACCAGAGGUGUUCAUGGUUCAUCUCAGUGUGCUUUGUAAAGGAGAUGUCAAUUGUUCAUAUCCUUAUUUCCCUACAAGAAGAUAUGCAAGUAAAUAUAGCUUAGCAGCAGGUACUCUUGCUCCUUGACAGAAAAGAUAACGAAGCAAGAGAGCUACUUACUAUUUAUAUUGGUUACUACAGUGCAGUCAGCUGUGGUGGUUUGGGUAAGUGAGUUGGGCUAUACUCUUCUAAUACUCUGUAUUGUCAAAGGAUGGGGGUGAGUCGCAUCCUGUACUGUGGAAUUAAAAUUAUAUUGAAAUGCAUGGGACAGUUUAUCCUCUUCUUCUGUUGUUGUUUUUUUUUUCUGUUUUAAUAACAAUAUAUGUACCUGUGCCUCAUCACAGGAGGAAAAAGACAAAAAAAAAAAAUCCAACCUUUCUGUUCUUCAGUUUCAUGGGUAUUGUGUCUUGAAAUAUUUCUGUACUUAAGAAAGUCAGACUUGAUUAUCUGUGACACCAAUGCAGGAACUGUAAACUCCUGUUGCAGACAGAAUUUUUAACUCAUGCUUACUUGAGAAAUGUGACUAGAUUAGUAAGCUGUUUCUUUUAUCUCUUAAAUAAUGGUGAAUAUGUGUUGCUUCAGUCAGAGUUGCUCUGUUAAUUUUGUCAUGUUUGAAGUGUAUUGAAUUUUUAUAAGAAGAAAAUGUAAGUUUCUAAGUUAUAAAAGACCAUUUUCCUCUCCUCUCUUAUCCCAAAUGUUUCUCCCCAAGUGUUUAUUCUAGCAUUCUGGUGUAGCCAUGAGAGUGUCAAAUAUUACAAGUGACUCAAACAUGAAGCCAACUCUUUUGUCAUUUGCAUAUUUGAGAUAUCUUGGUUAACACAUUGCACAGUAAGUUUAUGUUUUGGCACUUUUAAGGAACAACAUCGUAUCACCUGUGUUGCAGAUCCUUUUAUAGGCUAAACAUGAAAAAAAUUUGUUCACACAAGCAUGAGAAUGAGGUUAAAGGAGUUGCUGAAGUUACAAGUCGAGUCAUGCACAGGACAUCCAUCAUCUGACAGCUAACUGCUAGGUCAUACUCCUCUUCUCAAAUUACUGGGUUUUACAUUUUUAAAUAAAAUUGAAUUGGCACCCAUCUUUCACCUAUCUGCAAAGACUAGAAUUGAUGAUUCUGUAUCUGUAGAAACAGUUGAGAAUACCACAAGUUUAGGGUGUUCAGUGAAAUAUUUUGCUUUCAUUGCUUUUAUCCACUGUUGCCUAGGCAACAAUGAACUUUGAAUAUGGGUCCUGCAAGAGAAGUGAAAGAGAAAUACCAUCCUUUUAGUGUAAAUUCUACAAAUACAAGUGUACUGUGAAGAGUUGCUUAGUAAAACUGAAUCCUAUAAAUGCAGUUUGUUGGUUUAGUCCUAAAUUUGCCUGAUGUUUUUAAUGGAGUAUAAAACUGUAGGACUAACAAAGUAUUCUUCCAGAAGAUCUUGGAGCAUCUUGUCUUUUGUCACUGUCUUAUCUUUGAACAUAAUGUCUUGACCAAACUGCAGUUUGUGUAAUUAGGUUUGGUCAGCUCAGGAUUCCUCUUGUGUACCCUAAGCUAUUGUGUUACACAGCAUGUGUGUGCAGAAUUACAGAGAUACUUUAUUCUGCCCCAGACCUGGCUGAAUUUUAACCAUGCAGACAAAGACCUCUUAGGGAUAACCAGAGGUGAAGGGUCUGGAGCAUAAGUCGUAUGAGAAGCAGCUGAGGGAGCUGGGAUUGUUUAGUCUGGAGAACAGAAGGCUCAGGCAAUACCUUUCCACUCUCUACAACUAUCUGAAAGUUUACAUUAGCAAGGUAUUAAAUAUCUCCAUAAUUUUAAAUGGUAACAUGAUCAUGAAUGCAGUUUUUUUACAGUCUGAAGUAUUUUGGUUACUCAGAACUUGACAAAAACAGGGAAGGAGGAAGAGAUGAGGAAAGCAAAACUGUCAUUAGUGUCUUUCUUGCAGAGCGUAAACUCAAAAUUAGAAGAGUUGAGGACAGGUUCUGUGAGACAACACCAGAAGAGAAGGAACUAUGGUGAAGAAAAUGGAAAGAGAGAGCGGGUUAGAAAAAUUACAUAAGGCAUAGGAGGAAAGGGGAAAGGAUUGUAGACUGAAAAAAAGACAAAAUGUAAUGAAAGGUGCAGGCAUAAGGUUAGUAAUGUGAUAUUCCUGGAGAUAUCUUUUAAAUGACAUUCAUUGAUUGGACAGUAGCACUCAUCUGAGUUACAGCUUUUUUAAAUGCAUUUUUCUGCUUUCUGUUGUUUACCUAUGAGUGGUGGUGGUGGUGGUGGGUGUUUUAAUGAAUGUGCUCUGAAAUACUUCUUUUCCUGAACUUGUGUAAGGAACUUUCAGCAUUACUUUUUCCUUAUGCUGGAAGAGUGUCUCACUUGAAAUAAGCAACAACUACCUCAUUUCAACGAAGAUGAGAAAAGUUAGCACUCCUUUAUAGUGCCAGAGAAUGGUUUCAGUCACCAAAUAUGUGCAUAUAUUGGCAAAUAAAACCAGCGGUUUUUAAAAAAGUGUCUACUGUUAUUAGGUUCCUGCUGAUUUCAGGCAGUAUGUGUACAGUUUUUCUGAAGAAGUAGAAUUGAUCAAAGAGCCUCGUGCUUCUGCUGUCAUUUUCAACCUACUAAAAGUAAACCACAGUUCCCUGAGUUUGAGCAAUAACUUGGGUAACUAUAUAAGAUAUGAUACCAGUUCUGGAUCACACAUUGCCCCAUACUUCUAUUGUGAAUCCCUUGGCUAGAAAUAAGGAAUAUAUGUACUGAAUGUCAUGGAUUUCACAUGCAUAUUUUUUAAGAGUGCCUCUUAUCACAGCAAAUCAUGUGUUAAAACAAGGUAUUUCUUGUUUUUCUCUAAUUGUUUGUCAGUUCUUUUUCUUUAAUGCUGGAUAUACACAAAGUGUUCAGUGUUUGAUAGCAUAGAGACUAACUCCAAACGCCAGCAGAGGUAUGUAAAGAACUGUUUCCUAGAGUGAGAGAAGAACGAUGAAAACUGAUGAGACAUUGCAGCAGAAUUCAAAAUAGCAUUAAUUUAUGUCUAGCUAAUGGGUGUGUAUCAUAGUUCCAAGGUUUUCUUAAUGUAAUUUGAGCAGGACUCAUAUUUUCAAGCAAACCAUACUUCCGUACGUGAAAUGAAAAGGCAGAAGUACUUUCAAGUCUUACCAUGAAAUGCUCAUUGCAAUCAGGACUACGAAACCAGUGAAAUAUUAAAAAAAAAAUAAAAAUCUUCCUUUAUGUUUACAUCAGGAUUGCUAAAAAAGGGGAGAGGAGAGAAAAUUUUUCUCAUUGAUAAUUCAAAUAACUCACGAGUUAUUUGAAUAGUGCUCUAGCCAAAAGCCUGUGUCUGGAAUGGAAAUCCUCUCCCACACCCUUCCAGGCUGACCUUCCCUUCCCUUCCCCAUCUACCAUAGCUCAUAUUUCAGAGCUGAGCUGGUCGCCAGCAGACUGUGAGCUGCUAGGAGGAACACAUUGUUUGCUCAAAAGAAAAGGAGAGGCACAACCAUUAACUGCCCCCUCAUGCCUCACUCCCCACAGGAUUAGGCAGAUUUCUCUGUGAGGAGUGAACUUGCUAUUCCUCAUUGGUACAGAAAAUGUCAUAAAAACCACCAUGAGUGCCCUCCCAUAUGAGGACUUUAUUGUGAUCAAGAGGCUGCAUCUCCUCCCAGAAAGCUAAGUAGGUCAUGGCAGCUGAUCUGUCCCUAUUCUCAUGUGAUCAAGUCCUAAAGCCAAAUCCAGAUUGUUGUUCCCAUGUGAUUUAGGCAGUCUGCUCACAUCUGGUAGGCAGUGAAGACCUGAAUGAAUCCAAAGUUUAUAAAGGGGCAUCAAGACUAUGCUGCUGUCCUUGGACACAGGACAUUUAACAGCAGGUCUUGCCUCUACUAAAAAAUGUUUAUUUAGAUAGUUACAUGUUUGUACCAGCAGACACUGCAAGUGGGUAUGUAUCAAUAGCUGAGGGUCUUUUGCCCAUGCUUUGAACAAAAAUAAAUUGGCAGCAGUGCCCCUUGCACUAUAGCUGCAUCCAUUCUUUGAAUUUUUGGCCCCAUGGCUCGGUUAGUCAUGGAGACUGAGAUGGCUGAAUUUUCUUUAAUUUUGUCAGUCGAAUAGGAAAUAAGGAAGAACAGUUCAAAAAUCUGAAAUUAAAAAUGCUGCAAUAUUAGAAAAUAUUUAUAAAAGCCAAGAAUAUUUUUGCUUUUCUUUUGCAGUGAACAUUCACUCGCUACUAAUCAUCAAACAUAAUUGCAGCAUAUAUGUGCACACUGUGCUUGGAAUAUAUUUUGAUUCCCAGAUAGGCUUUACUUUUAACUCCAGGAGGACCUCUCCAUAGAAUCAGGUGUGAUGAGGCAAAGGAAAUUAUUUAGAAAAACGGCUGGACGUAGUGACAUGAUGGCAAUAUAACAAACUCAACAUUAAACAUUCAUAAAUAGAUGAACAAAUUAAACCCAAUGGCUUUGGUUCCUGUACAGGAAUUUUUAUUCAAAUAACUAUUCAGAUAUGUUUUUCCAUUGAAAUAUUCAUAUUUGUUCAAUAAACAUUCUUUAUAUCAUGUCAUCAUGGGAAGUGUGGAAUGGAGAGAGUUCUCCCUACCAAAGCUCAGCAUUUUAGGAUGACACAGCAAAAAAAAAAAGGUCAAGGGCUGUCUGUAUAAAUGAAAUAUUGUGAAACAAGACGGGGUGUAAAUGUAAGAGCACAACAGUUAUUCUCAGGCCUUCUUAACUAACAUGAAGAACACUCAUUCUGUCUUGGAUUAUCAAUGUUACACUGGCACAAGGUCUCAAUUAUAAUGUUUGUUUUAACCGCACUUUGCAAUUAAUGAGAGUUGGGGGAGGCAAUGAAUUUAAAAGUGCAGUGGCUGCUCUGAAAUAACUGUGCAUGGAUAUUCCUUAUUCAGAACAAGAGUAUCCACACAUGGAUCUAAUCAGCGGCAGUUUCAUGUAUAAACAAGUAUUAAUGAAGUAUUUAUUUAGAGUCUAAAUGACAGAAUUGUCAGUCAAAGAGCAGUUAUUUAUUAGUUCCACUUAGAAGAUAUAAAACUGAAUCUAAGCAAGGCUUUUGGAUAAGAAAAGACUCACCACCUCAACUGAGCAUUACAUAGGCAAGGUGUCAGAGAGGAGGCCAGCAAACCAUCUUUCUUUUUCCCCCUGCCUCUGGACCCAGCUUAAAGCCAGACCCAUCCAUUUGUAACUGAAAGAAGUCUGAUGAUGCAGUUAACUAUGGAGGAGUGAUCUUCUAGGCACCAAAUAGGUAGAGAUUUUUGAGCAGAUAUGUUUGACAAGACCUGGGUCCAGAAGUAUUGUCAUAAUUGUUUUUGACUUGACAUACUUGAGAAUAUUCAGCAUCAGUGCUGCCUCCCACCCUCAGCAGAUAAAACACUUUUAGAGAGGACACAAGUUUAGGCUUGUAUGUACAGAUUUCCCACUGCCUUUAUCUUUUUGAUUCUUUAUUGUUAGAAGAAAGGUCUCUCCCCAGCACAUGGAGAAAGACAAUCCCAUGCACAGAUUGCUGUAUGGGAAGCCAUACAGAGGAGCAUUCUAACUUUUCUUUUUCUUUUUUUAACUGUGCCUCAUCUUUUUUCCAGGUGGGGAAGAAGACAUUGUCAGUUCACAGUUUCCAGGAGGUCAUGGCUACUGUGCAGGAAAUGCUGACAACUCCUGUACUGUUGUGUAAAGGCCAGCUAAACCUGUUAAACAAGUAUAGCAGCUCCCAGACAUUACUACAACUCUGCUCUGCAGGAAUGCCUAUGUAUAAUGCUGCUUGUAGUCUGUCCUUCCAAAAGUGCAUGGAAGGAGUCAUUAGAUUUUGUUUCUAAUUUCAGGUUUCAAUGCCAAGGGAUGGAGGGAGCAGUUCCUUCACAAUAGAAAUGCCUCUAACCACUUCUUGUGGCUUAAGCUCUUGCCAUCUCUUACUUUAAAUGAAACUACAUUACUAUUGCAGCUACCAAUGGAAGAAUGAGCUGAGUGCAUACAAUUUAAUUCUUUGGUAGCAGCAGCCAGUUCAGCUAAACAUGGACUUUGUGCUUACAGGCUCUUGAAAGAGACUCUACCCUCAUCAAACGAGUCCUGCCUGGAUUCCUUCGAAACCAGCUCCUGCCCUCCCCCACAAGAGGUGACUGGGGCUGGAGCAUGAACCUUUGUACACUGCCUUCUUCAUCCAGGAUGACUAACACGUCUGCAUGGCAGUGCCGUGGAAACAGUUGUUAGGAAAGCAAUAGAACUGCUGGUGACCAGGCCCAGGAACAGAGCUGGUGUCAUAGGCCAGAGCUUUUCAGGACGUCCAAACCUCAUCUGACUUAGCUUCUCCCAGUGCUCCCAUAAAGAGACAGCCCUUCAGCAGGUGACCCAAAAUAGGUCUUCCAAAUACUGUUUUCUCUGCACCGGAUCCUGAUCCUCAAAAUGUUUAUUCCUCCUAGUACUUCUCCCUCACUAAUGCAAUUUAUCCCACCUCAGUGAAUCAGAUCCACAGGGUGUGAAGCUGCAUGGUUAAUUAGGUCAUUGAAGAGGUGGGUGGAAAAAAAAAGAAAAACACCCCGAACUAUUUUCCCCUCUGUAAAGUUACAUUUCAAACUGACAAUUUCUUUUAUCUGCUGUAAAGUACAUCUCCAUAAAUGGUUUAUCAGCACAAGAAAAGGGGUGGCAGGCAAGUAGGGGUAGGAGCGAGCAGCUGACCUCUGCAUCCCUAUUAAGGUGAUAUCAAACUCAAAGCCAGCCUGUGGUGUGAUGGUGCAGCUGGUGGUGUCCUCCUCCAGUUGAGUGUUAAUAAUAGUAGAAUAAAGUACUUUUUCCUGCAGGUGAUUUUGAAAGAGAACUUUCUGCCUUAGACAGAUCACUGACAAUGACUGUCUAUUCCCAGAAGAGAUGAGGUGUGAGUAGGAGCAUAUGAACUUUAACACCCACUCUACUUCCUCCUUCCCCUUGACAUUCUUUUCUGAGCCCGCAAGACCUCUACUAAACCAAAAGAAGUUUCAUUGCCAACACAGGGACUGUGUUGUAGCAGGAUAUGUGAAGUAGAGGGAUAUGAACACAACUUCCUCAGAAAAUAACCGUCAGCUCAUUUUGUACAGGCUGCCAAGAGCCACCAAGCAAAUUAAUCAGUUUCAGUCACUCAUAGCCUGAGAACAGGUAGAAAAACCUGGGUGACAGAUUGUGGUUUAUUGAUCCUUUUAGUUUAUUUUUUUAAUAUCUGUGGCACCAUCCUGCCUUUUUACAGUAAGAGCACGAGAAGGUCCCUUCACUGCUCCGUUUGCUCCUUGCUGUUCAUCCACUGUGUUCUAUUUGUUUUUCUUAGCCAGCUGAGUCUGAUUUCCUCUCUGUGCUGUUCUUCACCUUCUUCCGCCCCUCCCCCCCAUCUUAAUUACCACAUAUUUCCUUCCUGGCUUUUUGUCUGUUCCUGUCAAAAAUGAUGGUAAAAAAUAAGCAACCAAAAAAAAUUGAAUUUUGACAACAUUGGAAAAAAGUAUGUAAUUUCAUUUGCCAACCCAUUGUCCCUAGAGAGAAAAUCAUCUUGCCUAUAAGACAGAAAAACACUUUGAUGAAACAAAGCAGAAAGCAUCAGGAAAAGUUCGGUUCUAGCAAGAUGUUUCUCUGGGGAUUCUACAGCAAGGAAAGCAUUACUUUGAUAGAUUAUAGUGGUUUAAUUUAGUAUACUUUCUCUUAUAGUAAUCAGUGUUAGUUGGUUCAGGGGAAGGUACAAGCUGAGGACUAACUUAACCAUAAAAAGUCUCUUUUAACACUUCUCAUCCUCCCAACAGAGCUUGUCUUCACUUGACUUUACCUUUUUGGCCAUUAAACUUGAGGCACCUGAUAUUUUUGAAGGUUAAUGUGCACAUGCAUCACACAACUGAUCCAGAGUCUAGAAGUUUCUUCCUUAAGAUAAGACUAUCUUCAUUGAUAAAAAGGGGUUCUGCAUGUGUGCAUUCCUAAAAUUUCUCACUGUGGAACUCUAGUGGAGACAAAUGCCUGGACAAUGACUACUUCACUACAGUUAGACAAGGUCAGCAUUAUGCUUUAAUACAGUCUUUCCACUCAUGCUAGUUGUAGUGUAACAAAAAUGACAAGGCUCUGACUUUCAUGGGAUUUCCUAGCAAGAUGGUUACUAAAAAGGAAAAAACCCUGUAUUUCUGUCUGUUAGAACCACAGGCUGCUACUUGCUUUUCCCUGGAAUCUGUUAGUUGCUUUUUCCCUUCCUCUUUCCCCUAUUUAAAUAUCAUUCUUAAGUGAUGACUCAUGACAGGAAACAGAGCUGCCUUGUGUCCUUGUGGAAGCCACAGAAGGCAUAUGUAGGUCAACGGAGCAUGUACAGAAUGUCCUGCAAACUUGAAUGCAGUGCACUCCCCAUUGUAAGUGCUUACACUUAGCAUUCAUCAGUGCUGAAAGUACUAGUGAAACACUAUGUCCCGGAAAAAAAAGAAAAAAAGGAACUCCAGUAGCAAGGAAUGGCAUCUGCUAGGAAAUAUCUGAAAUCAUUGUUUUUGAGAAACUACUUUGUUUCUGAUUACUGUUUACUAGUUGUCUAGAGGUGCAGAAAUGAGAGAACACCAUGAAGUUUAGGUAAUGUGCAAAUUCCGAUUAAAAAUAAAUAAAUGUUAAAAUUGUGUGGUGACCCAAUUAGCUUUUUCCACUAUCCAGCUUCUGUUGCCUCUACACCUUUGAUGUAUGACAGGUCAUUAUCUCUGAUUCACAGAGAAUUACAACCUGUAUAUGUUGAGAUGUUCUGUCCAAAAAGUAGUCAGAAGCAUCUUCCAACAGUAUCAGCCAUUACUGACAUGGAAAAGAAUGUGGAGCUUAGCCAUGAAGAUAAAAUAAAAGUUUUAAGAUUUGUUUGGAUCUGUAGAGCCCCAACAAUAUAAUGUGGUUUGCCAUUUCACUUCCAAAAAGCCCCAACAUCCACUUCAUGCUACAAGUCAUGCAUGGGGAACUCUAAUAGAUUUCUGAGGACUUUGCAGACAUUGGGCUGAUGUAAAGCUGGUUACUGCUUCAAAACACCACAGAAAAGCUGACAUCUAUGCAGCCAACCGCGAAGUUAUUUUUUCAAAGUACCACUCCUAUGUAUGAUUCUACUUUAUCGGUUUUUGACAGUUAAAUUUUCCUGUUUCUCAAACUGUCUUUCUAUUUACAAUUGUAGGAAAAUAGCUGUGAUUCUGACUAUGCUUAAAAUGGUAAAUUCACAAGUUCAAAAUGUAUAAAUUUCCCUGCCAGUAACCUCUCUCAGUUGAGCUGGAAAUAAAUAUAACAACAGUUAAUUAUGGUGAUCUUAUGCUUUAUCCCCCCAGCUCUUUAAGCUCUCCUGGGCCCAUUUAGGAAACAUUCUACCUUUUUUACUAUUUAUUAAGCCCUGAAGUGCCAGCAAAUUUAUUUGUUCUGAAACUAUGAACACUGGCUGUCAGAAGUAAUUUCUAAUCAGAAAUGUUUUUAAACAAUCCUUGCUCUGCAAGGAACCUAAAUCUUAUCUGCCUUUCCUCUUGCCAACAAAACUACAAAAAACUGCUGUAUAGAUUUCAGACCUUGAAUCUUUCUGCAGAGAGACAAGAUGGAAGGCCACCCUCUAACUAUGGAGGGCCUACAUUGCCAUGAUGGGCAGUGUAUGUGUGCCUAUGCACAUGGCACAUGAAGAGUAUAAGACCGAACGGAGAACAGAGAGAUGGAGCUUCUUGUUUUCCCCGUGAAAACCAACAGUUUUGUAACUGUUGUGCUUCAGUGUACACGACUAACGGAAAUAAAGUUGGAAACACUGGGAAGAGAUGAAGUCUGACUUAGUUUCACUCUUUCAUAUGUCAGUCACAGAGAGAGAAAAGCCCCAAUGAAAGAAAAGUUAUGCAGGUUCUUGUUUGACGUAGUCAAUAUAUUUCCCUCACAGCAGCAUUGAAAAUGUGUCUUUGUUAGAAAAUGCCAGUUAUCAAAAGCACACAAUGUCUCUAGGAAAUGUAAGUCGCAUCUGAAGGUCAAGAGACCUCUAUUAAGGCAGCAGAUUUUACCUCUCUCAUUUAAGGGGUUAGGACUGUUUGCAUUGGGCUGGAGAGAAGUCACACAGAGAGGGGUUUGAAGAGGGUCAAAUGAGGUAUGCAGAGGCCCAAAUGAGCUCUGUUCUGCAAAGAAAGGGUUUCAGCUGGGGUCCUUGGAAAAAACUAUGCAUAUCAGCUCUUUUGGCUUUACCCAGUUAGGCUUCUUGUUCAUCAGCCCUGUCAAGGAGAGGCAUCAGAUCAGUGAAUUCCUUUCUCAUGUCUUUCUCUUACCCAGCCUCAUCCGCUGGGGGUUGUGCUUGUGCUCAGGCUGGGAACAGAUUUCAUUGCACUGCGUGACGUAAAGGGCUUCCAUCUGGUUUUUAUAGUAUAAAUUCUGGAUUCUAUGUAAUUUACUUUAGCACAGGCUUUAAAAUAGAUCCAUAUAGCUUUGCAAGAGAUUUCAACUGCUAAGCACCAUUUCUCCCAUGAUGUUAGAUAGCCACUGAAUUUCCAUUAGCUGGGUGUCUCAACCAAGUACAUCUUGAAAAUUGUAGCAUGAUUUUUAUUUGGUGUGCUCUAGUGCUGUGGGAACAUGAGCUGUUCAGAUUUGGCACUGCCAGUAGAAAACCUGACCAUGCUAGGAAAUUGUGUAAGCUCAUCAUCCUCAUAGGUAAUCUCCAUUGGUUAGUCUUCUGAUUGUCUUCGGAUACUGUUAAUAGUCCAGGAACAAAUAUGUUCACCAGCAUUCAGCCGUAAUAACAUAAAUUUCUCUACUUCACAUCUCUGCUGACAGCACAGAAAAAAGAAUUUAGGGGGAAACAAAGGCAGGAGGUUUGAACGCUGGAUGUUCAAGAACAGAUAUCAUUUUAUUUUCUUCAGAAUUCUCCAUAUUCAGAGCAGACUUAUCAUAACACCAUUUCCAUCAGAAAAAAAAAAAUGAAUGAAAUAAAUUCUUUAACCUGUAAAUCUGCCAGACAGUAUUCCAGAUCCUGUGUUGAGUUUUUUUCUUCAAUAUUUCAGAUCACAAAACAGCCUGAUUUUAAACUUAUCUGUAAUAAAUUUAAGUAGCACUUAGUCAUCAAAGGCAAAGUUUCAAAAUAACUAAAGCUAUGCAAAGUACCUAAAUAAAUGGCCAGACAAUGAAGUUUUCAGGAUGCUGGAAGCUGGGUGACUUUGGAAUUGAGGCCAGUUGUGACCAAAAGUAAUUAUUAUCAGACAGUUGUUUCUUACUCUGUGCAAAACAGUUAAGGACUGUAGUUUCUAAUGAUUAGAUGACUGCCUCCUGCUACGCACCCAUGUAGUUAGGAGUGUUGCCAGUUUUCAGCUGACUGAAUUGAAACCAAUAAUCAAAAGGCUUAAAGUCUUUCCUUUUGUCAGAAACUGGGACAUUGCAGUGCUAAUGGUUGUUUUUAUUUAGUGUACAAAUACAGAGACACACUGUAUAUGGCAACCUAGACUUCCACAUAUUAUCCACUUCCUAUGGAUGAAAGUAUCAGCCUGUGAGUACAAGAUAAAGGUGGAAGGACCUUCUGGAUCUACUGAAUAGCCUGUUGUAUUGGGUCUGUGUGGCAAGAUUUUGGCAGCAGGGGAGCUACAGGGAUGGCUUCUGUGAAAGGAUGCCAGUAAUCUUCCCUAAUGUCUGACAGAGCCAAUGCCAGCUGGCUCCAAGACAGACCUGCUGCUGGCAGAAGGGGGAAAAAACCUGUGCAGUGGCAGCCAGGAGAGAGGACUGAGAAUGUUUGAGAGAAACAUUCUUCCUAAGAAGAAUUUUAUAUAAUAAAAAUAUUAUUUAUUCAACAUGAUCAUGAUAAUUUAAGUAAAUAGGGACAGUGGAUGAAUUUCCUUUUACUUCAAAGUGAAAAGCUUGCUAAAAUCUUAGCUAUAAAAUAGUAAGCCCAGAUAUGGGCACUACACUCCAAGCAAAUAUACAUGUCAGUUGAAGAAAAUCUGAAGAUGAGAAACAAGAAUUAUGAAUCCCAGUUGGAAGUGGUGAGGAAUAUAUUUAUUGCAGGUACCUUGGGGUGCAAGCUGCAGAUUGAGCAAAACAAAAGUCAUGGGGUCCUGUGGCACCAGCCAGGUGACCAGACACUCAGAGACACAGCAGGAGCCUGGAUCCAUGGGAAACCUGGAGGCGAACUGGUAAGGAAUCCUGGUCUGACUGCAUGAGAGUGGGUGUGUAGGGAGACAAAUGGCU